rnacentral:lncRNA from 1 species
AUUUUUAUGGGUUGUCCUACGUGUUCAUGCAUAUUAUUUUUCACAUGAACAACUCCACAAUAGUUGGAGAAAAAAAAUCUUCCUGGUAUUUUAUUAGAGUUGCAUUAAAUUUAUGCAUAAACUAAGAGAUAAGAGAGACAUAACAUCUUGUUGACAUUGACACAUCAUAAUCAAGAACAAGCAAUGUCAUUUCAUUUUUGCACAUCUUCCUUUUUGUCUUCCAGGAGAUGCUAAUCAUUUUCCUUAUAUAGUUUUUAAAUCGUCUUCCCUUAGUAUUACGUAGAUUGUCAUUAUUUUAAAGGCUAAUUCUGACAGCUUCAUUAUUUGGCAUCUUUGUAUUGUGCAUAUUUUUUCUUGAUUUUAGAUCAUUUGAUCUUGAGUCCUAGUGUGUUGGUUAAUUAUUUUUUACAUUCAAUGUAAGAAGUUACUAUGUGUGAUAAAAUAUAAAGAAAGAUAACUUGAAGCUUUUGCAUCUGACUUAUAAUCUAGGGAGAGAUCCCUUUAAUUCAGACACAGUUUGGGCUUAUUAGAGGCUUAAUUUCAGUCUUUCAGGUGGCUGGUCCAUCUUUGGUGCAUUCCUACAAUACUGUAGAUUACACACCUGCAAAGUAGAUUAUUUUACUAAGGCCAAACAUCUUGACUGACUAGUCCUAAACUCCAAUGUCUGUCCGUCUCCUUUGCUUCAUAAGAAUGCUGAAAGCUCUGCUCAUAUUCUUAGCUUUCUGGCCAUCACUUGUGAACUUACAAAUGCCUAUGGAGGAAUAAUUAAUAGUGCCAAAUGUUGGACUCAUUUCUUUGUGUUUCUCUUUUCUCUGGGAUUUUGAGCCUUCAGAUUCUAACUUUAUUUAUGACUUUCAGUUGCCUUCAAAAAGAUUUUUUUCAAAACACCAUUGCUUUUUGAAAUACGUGUAGUUUCACAGGAUGUUACCAAAAUAGUACAGAGAGGUACAGUAUGCCCUUCACCCAAUUUUCUGCAACAUCUACAUUUUACAUAGUUAAAUGACAAAAUCAAAAUCAGGAUAUGAACGUUGGUAAAAGACGUGUGCAUAGUUCUUAUACCAUUGUGUCCAGUGUGUAUAUGCAUGAAAUACCAUUGCAAUCAAAAUACAGAGUUCCAUAUUUUAAAGAAACUACCUUAAGUACCUUAUUUGGCUUUUCCAUUGGUUCUUAGAAGUAAGGUUGAUCUAAUCCCAGCUGUAUCAUCAUGGGCCAAAGCAGAUCUUCUAAAAUUAGCUUUAUAAUUUUUAUUUUUUGUAUUUUAUAUUAGGAAAUUUUCUGACAUUUUUCUAACUCUGAGAUGAUGUAUAUUGUGUAAAAGUUUAAGAUGGAGUUUGAAUAAUUCUCUUUUGCUUCCCUAUAGUGCCUAGUGGGGAGCCGGAUAAGUAGUAGGAAGGAAAAACAUAAUUAUUUAAUGAUAUUUAACAGUAAGCUUCUUUCUGUAGUCAUAGCUACAAAAAAUGUCUUUAUGGCACUGCAUGUAAGCUGUAAUCAUCAUUUCUAGUUUACCUACACAGCAGAAAUGUAGUUUAACUUACUGUGUUGGUAGAUUCAAGCCAAUGAAUCAUGAUUGGCUUGUUCUUCAACAAUUUUAUAUCUCCAUAUACACACACCUAAAGGGUUUCAAAAUGUUUCUAAAACCACCAAAUUUAAGUCACAUUGUGGACUAAGCUCCUGUAUCACUGUGGAAAAACUUAAAUUUCAUCAUGUGAGCAUUUACUGGUGAAUACAUAUUAGUGGCUACUCAGCAGAGCAGUGCUGCUUAUUGAAACAUACUUUAGGAAACACAUGGUGUUAUAAGUGCACAUAAUGGUUAAAAUGUGAAAAGUAAUAUUUCAGGUGGAAAAUGUCACCAAUAGCCAUGUGGUUAGUCCAGGGAACCAGUUUGUUAGAAUUGUCUAGCUAUAAGAAUAUUUAUUAGAGUUUAAUUCCAUGACUUUGUAUAAUGGAAGGGAAGAUAGAAGGAGGGGGAAGGCAGAAAGAAAUUAGAAAAAGCACAGGGUAAGAAAAUCAGUUCAAAGGCAUAUUAUAUAAUGUACCAAGUCUUGGGCUUUCACAUAUUUUUAAAUGGGAUUAUCAAAUAAAGAGAAAUCUGGACUUAGAUAAGAAGAAGCUUUAUUCAGAAGAAAGACUAUUGCAAUAGGAAUAAUACUCUGAUGUUAGAAAUCUGCAAGUGUCCCAAAAGCAAAUAAUUAAUAGAAAAGGAUUUUAUUUUAUAGAGAGGGGUAAGCAAUAAUUAUGGGGAAGUCAGGCAAAUGAGAGGAAAUAAUCAGAGGGGUCUGACAGGGAGUGUGUUCUACUGUAGUCAACUGCUCUCGGGAUAAUCUGAUUGAUUAAGGGAAUAUUUUCAGCCUUUUAGAGUUUUCUCAGGCUGAGAGCAAGCAGAGUUCAGGAGCCUGUAAGGAAAAUAGAAGCCUGACUAAAGUUUGGUCAAGACAAAGCAGAAGGUAAGCAAUUGAAAAUUGUGGCCACCUGGUCAACAGCCAACAGUACACAAGGAUGCUCUGUUACUAAAGGCUUUCUAGUGGACAAUAAAUGGCCUCUUGUUAGUUAUGCUAUGGAAGAAAGUUAUUUAUUUUUAAUAUAGUGAUAAUUUUACCUAGGUGACUUCAAAAAUUUAUUCUAACUUGAAGAACAAUUUGUUUUAUGAUUCAGUAAGGGUUAGUAUUUCUACAAAAAAAGACAAAGAGUUUGCCUUAAUGUACAUUCCCGGACAAUAAGAUUUGCUCCAUCAUCUAAUCAUUUUAUAUAGCACCUUUCAAUAAAAUUUAGUAAAAUUCUUUAAAAGCAAGCUUUGCAACCAUCAUUUUAUAGAUUUUGUAAAUGACUUAUUCAGAGUUAGGCAUUUCAGAAUAUUUAUUAUUUCAGACUGAACAGAAUUGCUGUCUGUAGGAUAUAUACUUCUUCCCUAGGAAUGCAAUAAUAAUAGUGUGGAAAAGAUGUGCAGUAGUAACAUUUAGAUAGGUAUCAUGGGAAAAGUGAAGCUUAAAAUUUACCCAGUGAAGAAAAAAAGAGAAAAGGUUUUGGUUAAAUCUUAUCAGACUCACCACUAGUCCAUCAAUUCAGUCAGCUUGGGAGUGAUGUUACUUUUCAAGCUCUCAUGAAAAGACUUCCUGAUUUGUAAAGGAGGCAAAUUUAUUUAUGUAAAUUGUCUAUUUGGCAGUACUUCUGCUUCUUUUAGUGUUUAGUCCCACCUCUGAUAAGACAGGUCUAAUUUCAUUUCCAUUAAAAUGCAAUGAAAGCACAUUUAUGAAUUUAAUAAUUUCUUGCCUGAGUUUGAUAGGAGCAUUAAAGUUGUUAGCUAUGGACUGUUGUUAAUAAAUAUUGCUUUUUUAAUUUAAUUAAAGUAGACUAAGAGUUACUGGCCAAUAAUUUUUUUCUAUAGAUUAUGAAAAAAAAAAAAAGAAUUGGUAAAAGAAAUAGCAAUUUGCCCAAGGGUUUGUUUAAUUGGACAUUCCUGCUUAUCUCAUUGUCAAAUUAUUUUUAAACCUAAGCCUUUCUAUAUAAUUUAAAUGUUGCUUUACUUUGUUUUGCAUAGCUUAUUCAUCUUCCUAAAAGGAACGUGAAGAAAAUAUGAAUUUAGGCCUUGUAACACAGCUUGGAAAGAGAAAACUGACAUUAAGAAUUUUAUUUUAAUUUUUCUUUCAGAAGUCUUUCUUAAACACUUUUUUUGCUCAUAAUUUUUUACACUUUUAUAUGAACUGCCUAUGUAAAUAUCAAUUAAUAUGAACUGCCUAUGUAAAUAUCAAUUUAUAUGAACUGCCUAUGUAAAUAUCAAUGUUUCUGAUAACUUAGUAUGCCUCCAGGGUCCAUAGCCUUCCUGAUGAAGUAGUAUUUAGCUGAAGCUUUUUUGCAUAAUCUGCCUAGUAAACAACUAUUUGUUCUUCAACAAAAAAAAGGAAAAUAUAUGCGAAAAUUAGAAAAAAAAUAAAGAAAUACAAAAGGACUUAAAGAUUAUGAGAAUCACUGGUAACAGAACUGAUUUUGAUUUCCUGUUCCUGCCUAAAUUAAGUUUCUGACUCAUCGUUGUUCUGCAAAAAAUGAAUUUACCUUUUUUUAUCACUUAAAAUCACGAUUAAAUUGAUAGAUCAGAUGAGAUAAACAAGUUUUGUGGUAUAAAGAGGUGUAUCUUUUGGGGCAAAAUACUGAGAAAAUUUAUAUACAAACCAGAAACAGUGGGUUGCAUGAAUUUAAAGUGCUAAAACAAUAUGUCUGCAACUUAGAGUUUCUUAGGCAUAAUUACUUAAAAUAUAUAAAUCCUGAAUUUACAGUUUCUUAAUUUCCUUGACAGAAUACUGCCACACCUCUUAGUCAAGUCUAGCACAUACCAUAUUUAAUGGUCAACAAUGAAGUGUGGAUUGCAUGUAACAAACCUGUACAUGUACCCCUUGAAUCCAAAUUAGAAUAAAAUCGAGUUAAAAAAAUACAAUUAAAAAUAAUACAACUAUUUACAUGACAUUUACAUCUAAUAGGUAUUAUAAGUAAUUCUAGAGAUGUUUUAAAGUAAAGUAGUGUGUACAGGAGGAUGUGGCUCAGUUAUGUGAAAUUAAAUAAUUCAGAUUUAAAGUUGUUGGAAUUUAAAUUAUUCUGAACCUUCAGAGGAAUGUGGCAAUGUAGCCUGAGUCACUUGGCAUGCAGCUGCAACUUCUGUAAAUAAUUAGGAAGACCAAGUGGCCCAAUCAAAUCAUUGUAACUGGUCUUGUAUGGAAAAUAUAAUCCUGCUAAACAUUUCUGUCUGUGUAUAACUGAUAAAUACCUUAACCUCUCUAACUUGUAACACUGACCUCAUUCAUUUGGAGUCUGUGUUUCCUGGGUGUCUGUCCUCAAGCUUUGCAACUCAAAUAAAUAAGCUAUAUGCAUAAAAUAAAAAAAAAUAAAGGAAUAUGGAUGCGAAUGUAAAAUAUCAUCUGGUAUCAAACAAUUCUGAAUGCCUAAAUAUGACUGGAACUUCUUCCAGUUUAAUUGAAAUAUUUUGGAUCUAUUAAUAAAUGUGUAAACUU